CACCCAGCGCCGGGGAGCAGGGGAGACGAGCUGCACGCAGCCCGGCCGCGCCGCAGCCGCCGGGCCCUCCGCCGACGCAGGGAGCCCCGCAGCGACGUGGACUAGGGCUCUGGACGCGCAGGCUCAGCCGCCAUGGCUCAUGGGCGCAGGCGCUCGCGACAUGUGGGAUCCUCCCAGAACGGGACACGAACCCGUGUCCCCUGCAUUGGCAGGCGGACUCUCAACCAUUGCACCACCAGGGAAGCCCCGGUUUGCUAAUAUUUUGUUGAGGAUUUUUGCAUCUAUAUUCAUCAGAGAUACUGGUCUUUCUUCUACCUGCAGUACACCUAGAGUAUUCACGUUGAAUCUCUAUGUGCAGUCAGCCUUCUGUAGCUACAGGUUCCACGUCCAUGGAUUCAACCAACUGCGGAUCAAAAAUAUUCAGAAAAAAAAAAUUCCAGAAAGUUCCAAAAAGCAAAACUUGAAUAUGCUGCACUGCAACUAUUUACAUAGAAUUUACAUUGUAUUAGGUAUUAUAAGUAAUCUAGAGAUGACUUAAAAUAUGUGGGAGGACAUGUAUAGGUUAUAUGCAAAUAUGAUGACAUUUUCUAUGAGGGAUUUGACUUGAGUAUCUAUGGAUUUUGGUACCUGUGGGGUUCUGGAAUCAGUCCCCCAUGGAUACAAAGGGAUGACUGUUCAUCCAUGCUUUGUGCCGAAGAUAUCCAAAAGAUUUUGAAGAAGAUUUUAGGGGAGUGAGGAGGAAUGUUGUUUUGGAAUAAAAAAAAAGUCUAAGACACCCUCCCCCUAAAAUUUUGCUUUGGGUUUCUUGGUGCUACCUUCACUGCUGUCAUUGUUC